AGUGAACGCUGGCGGUUGGCCUAACACAUGCAAGUCGAACGGCAGCACAGGAGAGCUUGCUCUCUGGGUGGCGAGUGGCGGACGGGUGAGGAAUACAUCGGGAUCUACCUUUUCGUGGGGGAUAACGUAGGGAAACUUACGCUAAUACCGCAUACGACCUUCGGGUGAAAGCAGGGGACCUUCGGGCCUUGCGCGGAUAGAUGAGCCGAUGUCGGAUUAGCUAGUUGGCGGGGUAAAGGCCCACCAAGGCGACGAUCCGUAGCUGGUCUGAGAGGAUGAUCAGCCACACUGGAACUGAGACCCGGUCCAGACUCCUACGGGAGGCAGCAGUGGGGAAUAUUGGACAAUGGGCGCAAGCCUGAUCCAGCCAUACCGCGUGGGUGAAGAAGGCCUUCGGGUUGUAAAGCCCUUUUGUUGGGAAAGAAAAGCAACCAGUUAAUACCUGGUUGUUCUGACGGUACCCAAAGAAUAAGCACCGGCUAACUUCGUGCCAGCCGCCGCGGUAA
rnacentral:rRNA from 1 species